rnacentral:lncRNA from 1 species
AAAUCUGCAUAGCAGCUUUAGUGAUAAUAGGUAAAAGGAGGGAACAAUCCAAAUGUCCAUCAACAGGCAAAACUCAUUUAUAGGGGCACAAAGCUGAUGAGGGUUAUCUGGGGCUGGGAGCAGGGGAGAGCAGCCGACUGAACAGGGGCACGAAAGAAGCUUGACGGGUGAUGGGAAAGUUCUCUAUCAUGAUUGUGAUGGUAGUUAUGCCAGUGUAUACACUUAACCAAUGAUCAUCAGACUGUCCACAUUUUUUGUCUUUUUAGGGCCCCAUACCCGCAGCAUAUGGAAGUUCCCAGACUAGGGGUCAAAUCGGCCUAUGCUACAGUCACAGCAAUGUGGGAUCUGAGCCGCCUCUGCAACCUACACCACACCUCAUGACAACACCGGACCCUUAACCCACUGAGCGAGCCCAGGGAUCAAACCCGAGUCCUCAUGGAUUCUAGUCGGGUUCGUUACUGCUGAGCCACGACGGGAACUCCCAGACUGCCCACAUUUUAUUAGAUGUAAUGUCAAUAAAGCUAUCAGCGCAGAUAUGUUGAGCUUUUUCUGAGACGUAGAGGGUGAACAGGAGUGUAUCAGUGUUGAUUGGCCAAAUAUUUUUAAAAGAUUAAACUAUAAAUAAAGCAAUAAACAGUUUAAUAGCUAGCACUUACAGAGUACUUGCCAUUUGCCAGGUGUUGUCCUAAGAGGUUCCACACAUGGAUUAAACCUCAUGACAACUAUCUAAGAGAGGGACUAUUACCCAUUUUACAGAUGAAGAAACUGAGGCUCUGAAAGGCCUUAAAUCCAUAGGGUAAGUGGCAAAACCAGGACCCAAAGGGUCUGGCUUGAGUGAGCAUCCUCCUAAUUUCUCUACUAUAGUGACUUUCUCAUUAGGACAAGAAACUCCCUUUUCUCCAUAAUUCCACCACCUCUUAAGAAAAAUAUCAUGUUUGCAUGAAAUGCUUUCUUCAGGCUUUGCCAACACGUCUCCAUAUUUUGACCACUGUAAUCACAGCUUAGCUACUGCCCAAGAGAAGCUACUGCAAGCAAAGGGUGAGUCUAGCGAGUAACGAACCCGACUAGUAUCCAUGAGGACGCAGGUUUGAUCCCUGGCCUUGCUCAGUGGGUUAAGGAUCUGGUGUUGCCUUGAGCUGUGGUAUGGGUUGCAGACAUGGCUUGGAUUCUGCAUGGCUGUGGCAGCAGCAGCUGCCACUGGAGCUGCAGCUCUGACUCAACUCCUAGCCUGGGGAACUUUAAGAAGCAAAAAUCAAUAAAUAAAAAUUUUUAAAAAGAUGAGUCUAAUUGCUUUCUGGAAAAAAAAUAUGUGCCUUUAUGCACUCAUGACUGAAUGAUCAUAUUUUAAUGGCUACAUAUAAUUCUUUUAUUUAAAAUACCACAUUUUAUUCAUCUUUAUUAUGGAAUAGGUCAUUACUACAGAAAAUGCUGUCAUGAGCAUCUUCCUGCCAGGCACAGAGCUUUAUUUUUUGAAUCUCUUAUGUAGCCUGUCGCGAGACAUGUUUCUACAAUGUUUUCUUAGCCUCUUUGCUGAAAACUCUUACCUUGUCCUGCUUUACCCCAUCUUCUUGCUUGAAAACAGUCGCAGUGAUGGUGAAUGACUUAAGCUUAAGAACAAAGACCUAGAGGCGUAAGUUAUUCAUAGGGUCAGCUGAACAAAGAGGACUUAAUGUGUUGGUCUAGGCACACCCAGACCUGUGCAGAUUGGCAUGCCGUUUGCACAGCAUAAGUCCUCUUAAGAAUAAAAGAGGAGCCCCAUAGCCCCAAGAGGUUUAUGAGGGGUCCUUAGCUGGAUAUACAUUAGCAAAGAAGAAUGCCGUCUGCAGAAGCACAAUGGUGAUUCUCUAGAGGUUAUGCCUAGAUAGCUGACGCCAAGCUUCCUCAAAUGCUAGUGAUUGUUAAAUGCCUAAAGGUCAGAGUAAAAGCUUAAUCAGCAACUGGCUAAGUGACUUUUAAAAUAACUUACAUAAACAACAGCAACAUCUCAGAUCCACCUCUUAGAGUAUUGACAACAAAAACAAAAACAAAUGGGACCUAAUCAAACUUCAAAGUUUCUGCACAGCAAAGGAAACCCUAAAUAACACAAAAAGACAACCUACAGAAUGGGAGAAAAAUCUUUGCAAGUGAAUCGACUGACAAGGGAUUAAUCUCCAAAAUUUAUAAACAACUUCUGCAGUUCCAUACCAAAAAAACAAACAACCCCAUCCAAAAAUGGGCAGAAGAUCUAAACAGACAAUUCUCCAAAGAAGACAUACAGAUGGCUGAGAAGCACAUGAAAAGAUGUUCAACAUCACUCAUUAUUAGAGAAAUGCAAAUCAAAACCUCUCUGAGGUACCACCUUACACCAGCCAGAAUGGCCAUCAUCCAAAAGUCUACAAACAGUAAGUGCUAGAGAGGGUGUGGAGAAAAAGGAACCCUAGUACACUGUUGGUGGGAUUGUAAACUGGUGCAACCACGGUGGAAAGCAGUAUGGAGAGUCCUCAGAAAACUAAACAUAGAACUACCAUUUGAUCCAGCAAUCCCAUUCCUGGGCAUCUACCCAGAGAAAACCACGACUCGGAAAUCCAACACAUGGACUCCGAUGUUCAUUGCAGCACUAUUUACAAUAGCCAAGACAUGGAAACAACCUAAAUGCCCAUCGACAGAGGAGUGGAUCCAUAAGACGGGGUACAUAUACACAGUGGAAUAUUACUCAGCCGUUAAAAAGAAUGAAACACCAGCAUUUUUAGCAAAAUGGAUGGACCUAGAAACUAUCAUGCUAAGUGAAAUCAGCCAUACAAUAAGACGCCAACAUCAAAUGCUUUCACUGACAUGUGGAAUCUGAAAAAAGGACAGACUGAACUUCUUUGCAGAACAGAUGCUGACUCAGACAUUGCAAAACUUAUGGUUUCCAGAGGAGACAGUUUGGGGGUUGGGGAAUGUGCUUGGGCUUUGGGAUGGAAAUCCUGUGGAAUCAAAUUGUUAUGAUCAUUAUACAACUACAGAUGUGAUAAAUUCAUUUGAGUAAUAAAAUAAUAAUAAUAGUAAUAAUAAUAAAAUAACUUAAAAAAACCUAUAUCCUGCACCUACAACCCCCUUCUCACUUGACGGUAAUCCUAAAAAACACACUAAAAGCAGUGUGGUUUCUUGAGGCGGUGCUCUUGGUCCCUGAGGCCUUGAGUCCCCUGGUUCCCACCUUUACUUAAGAUAAAUGUCUCUGUGUCUUGUUUGAUGUUAACCUUUUCCCUUAAGUUUCACAGCACCCGUUCUUCAGCCCCAUCCUGCUGAGCUGGUCUCAGCAAGUGGCGCCCAACGUGGGGCAGACAGGCAGGCACGAGGAACAAAGGGCCGCUACUACAGCGGAAUUUUUAUUCACUGGAAGUGCUGUGGAGCCCUGAGAAGAAGGGAGGAAUUUUGCGUGGCCACGCUAAAAAAAAUCCUGUGGAUGUGUUCCCUCUCUCGGGUAUUUACGGGGUAACAUGGGAAAUAAGGGAAUUGCGGGAAACUAUAGUCCUUACAUUUAUGUUAGGACAACUCCUUAAAAAAGGGGAUACAAAAACAAAUGAAAGAAAGCUUUUGGAACUUUUUCAAACGAUUGAGAAACAUUGUGAUGGGUUUCUUACAUCAGAAACGUUAGAUUUAAGGAUAUGGGAAACAGUAGGAAAGGAACUUAGGAUAUUGCAUGAUGAGGGCAUUCCAAUUCCUGUGUCCAUUUGGUGUACUUGGAGCUUAAUUAAAUCAGUUUUAGAACCUCUAGAGACCACGGAGGACUUAGGGGAGGAAGAAGAAGGGGAGUUUACACCUUUGUUGGAGGAACCUAAACAUACAGUCCCUGAACAAAAUUAUCAUAGAGAGUAUUUGGCUCCUGAGCCUUUGGCUCCAAGUUUUGAUUUUGACAUUCCUCCAUUGCCUCCUAUUAGGAGCGAGAUGACAAGGACUCAUCAAGCUUCUACUUCCAGGGUUGUAAAGAAAAUGAGCGCUAUCCCUGAACACCACCUAUCAUCCCUUCAACAGGGGAUAUCACAGGCUCAAAGGGAAGGCGAUUUGGAUGCCAUACAUUUAGCCUUUCCAGUAACUGUCAGGGAGACAGUGGCUCCAGGCAUUGAUCCCAUCAACCCUGAUGGAGUUUAUGAGUUCAUUCAUGAGCCCUUUCCUUUUAAAAUUUUUAAAGAAUUAAAACAGGCCGUUCAAAUCUAUGGUGUUAUUUCUCCCUUUACAAAAGGAAUCAUGCAGGGAGUAGCUGAAGGAAAUCGUAUGAUUCCUGCUGAUGGGCAUAACUUAACCCGUGCUGUGCUAUCGCCUAGUGGAUAUUUGUAAUUUAAGUCUUGGUGGCAAGAUCAUGCCCAAAUUACUGCUAAUUGCAAUCAGGCUCAAAAUCUUCCAAUUACAAUGGAAGAACUGUUAGGGAUUGGCCCUUGGAGUAAUCUUCAAGAUCAAAUGAGAAUGAAUGAUUUGGCUAUUGAACAGAUUAGACAAUGUUGCUUAAUGGCAUGGGAUAAAAUUGAAUCUAAGGGUCAAAUAAACACUUCUUUUCAAAAGAUCCCACAAGGGGAGUUCCCGUCGUGGCGCAGUGGUUAACGAAUCCGACUAGGAACCAUGAGGUUGUGGGUUCGGUCCCUGCCCUUGCUCAGUGGGUUAACGAUCCGGCGUUGCCGUGAGCUGUGGUGUAGGUUGCAGAAGCGGCUCGGAUCCUGCGUUGCUGUGCCUCUGGCGUAGGCUGGCUACAGCUCCGAUUCAACCCCUAGCCUGGGAACCUCCAUAUGCCGUGGGAGCGGCCCAAGAAAUAGCAACAACAACAACAACAAAAGACAAAAAGACAAAAGACCCAAAAAAAAAAAAAAAAAAAAAAAAAAAA